rnacentral:rRNA from 1 species
UACGGAGGGUGCGAGCGUUGUUCGGAAUCACUGGGCGUAAAGCGCGUGUAGGCGGCCUUCUCAGUCUGGUGUGAAAGCCCGGGGCUCACCCCCGGAAGUGCAUUGGAUACUGGAAGGCUGGAGUACCGGAGAGGAGGGUGGAAUUCCUGGUGUAGCGGUGAAAUGCGUAGAUAUCAGGAGGAACACCGAUGGCGAAGGCAGCUGCCUGGCCUAACACUGACGCUGAGGUGCGAAAGCGUGGGGAGCGAACGGG